AUCCCUCUCACACUGGAUUUAUCAGCAAGGCAGAUUUCAAGGUGAUUUUGACUUGGCUGUGCAACAACCUGAAUGAAUGUGAGUGUGGAAUGCCAGGAAGGAGAUGUGAUACUAAAGGAGAAGGAAGGUAAUGCAUCCAAGAAAGAGUCAUCCACUGAGUUUUUCCCCCUCAUUCAUCUCCCUUCAUCCAAGCUGAGGAAAAGAGACAGCCACCUGGCAAAGGUCUAGUCCAAGGUGCCUUUGAAAUGUUCUGCUGAAGCACCUCUGGUUCCCCAGCAUUCCUGUUAGAAGAUAAGCCGUCUCCAGGAAUUCCAGUUCUGGAUGUGGUAGUGUAAAUAAUUUGGAUUAAUCCUCCUGCUGAGAACUAGAAUAUCUGAACAAUUAUUUUUUUUAAUGUUUGAAGUCAUCAAGGAAUUAUGA